AAUAUACCUACAGUUUCGCGACAAAAACCGUAACCACUGUCUCUAUAGCCAAAGGUCUGUGUGUAAUGCCAAAAUCGAGGAGACCUGAGAAUGUCAUGCGACGGAAAUGGAUUGUUACAAUCCUAAAACCGACCGCGGACGAGGAGGCAUCAUAGAACACCACGCUGCUUUCGAUCGUGUUCUGAAACUAGUGGCGCAGAUGUAUACAUAUUUAGUAAUAAGGAAACGCGCGAAAAGGAAAUCAAAAAAACGAAUCCAGCCAGUCUCGACGAUAAUUUCUUUACCAUUUUCGGCCGGAGAUAUAAAGCAGUACUAUGUAGCUGUUCGCUAAUGGAUUCAGAUUGACAUUUGAUUACGGUCGGGCGCUACAAAAAUAAUAAUCGUUCUACGGAUCCGUAUAUGGCACUCCGCCGCCUAACCAGGCGCCAUAUACACAAUGAUAUUAUUAGUAUAUUACGGACAAUUACAAUUAUUAUUUGUUAAGUCGUCAGUGUAAUAAAAACGACCCGAAUUUGGAAUGGAAAAAAAUAACUUGAAUUAUUGAAACCAUGUUACAUAGGUAUACCUAACAUAAUAUUAUGUUAGAGAAGGGAUACAAAAAAAGUUGAUCGGUUUAACUAUACUUAUUAGUUAUUAUAGUAAUUAAUGUUGUUCUUACAACAUUGCAAACCCGGUGUACAUGUGUACCCCCGCCCCACGAGGAUGAUGAUAUUACGAUGACAAAAGUCGUGGACCUCGACCAUUAUGAUAUUUUCUGAUUUAUCGGUUCGUGUGGGCCAACUUCAGUGAGCGCUGGACCUACAGUGUCACUGACGAAGAAUCUAUGUGCAAGUGUGCGUAUAGGUUUUAUGUAAUUACUUUGUUCCUUUAAACUAGCUCUUGGUCGUACUUUUAAACAAAUACAAUAUAUUUUCCAAGUCCGGCCGUUACGUUUCAAUAUAUUUUAUCAUUAUUAUAAUUUUCAACGGGCUUGAAAAUAAAUACACCGUGAACACAAGGUCGUGUCGAUUAUUUUAGGUGUCUGCGCAGAAAAAUAAUAACACUCAUAUUGUAGGUUCCGACGAGUGUGAACAAUAUUAUAUUAUUAUACACCACAACAAAGCCCAUUGCACACCAAAUCAUAAUAAUUAUUAAUAUUGUGUUUUGAUGGAAUUCGGGACACGGAAGUACAUAACGAUGACGAAUAGCGAUACAUAUUUUGAUAUAGAACAUUGUUAGUCGGUUCGACCAAAAACCUCUGUAUAAUAUGAGCAUAAUACAAACGAUUUAAGAAACGCAAAAACGAUUGCCUACUUAAACUUGUCUUGGAGAAAAUCAAUACGGUACACAUGUGUAUAUUAAUAAUAAUAAUAAUACCAAUGGUAAUAUUAUUCUACUAAUCGAGCGUGAAGCGUUUAACGGAUGCGGAUAAAACGACGAAAAUUAAGGUAAAAAACGAAAAGAUUAAUUUUUUUUUUUAUCAAUGGAAAUCGCAGCAACGGCAACAGCAGCCGCCCGGACAAAAAACAAACAAACCGAGUGGCUCUGCCGGAGGCGGCGGAGGUAAUUUAUUAUUACAAUAUUUCUGUCGGCCGCCUCCUCGGCACCUAACCUAUUACUACUACUACUACCUGCUACGUACAUGUAACAUGUAUUAUUAUUAUUAUUAUUAUUAUUAUAAACGUACACACACUCGCACAUUCUCUGCCGUACAUUAUUGAAGACCUAGUCGUUGUUGCUAUGCUCCGUUUAUACCCACAUUAUACACACACGCGCUUCUUUUAAUAACAAUAUUAUAAUAUGUACCCGUCGAGGUGUGUGACGACAACGACACGAUAAUAUUAUUAUAUAGUUACCAAGGAGUCAGGUGCGAGUGCACGCCAUCAAGUCCCGGGCGUCGAACGAAUUAGACGAGGCGGUAUACCGAGGUAAUACGUGACCAAGUAUAGGUGCCAGGGGGGUACCGCACGCGAAACCGGACGACUUGACCCGACCCAGAAAGCCUCCCAACCUGGGUGGGGGUGAUGUGCUCGCGUAUUAUUAUAUUAUAUUGUUGUUCUUGUUCAACGAUUAUAUCGUCUACGAUCAGGGCUAACUGACGUCGUCGGGAGGUGAAGCCAUUUGCGCCAGGAAAAUGUGUUCAGGGGAGGUGGGGUAAAUAUUAGGACUAGGCCGCAGACUAAUAUGCUAGCCUGACUUAUAUACGCCGACCUUUAGCUGGUGUUCUUUCAGUACGCUAUUCUGAAAUGUUUGUGAAAAUGUUUUUGGCCUUUUUUCGCGUUACGGUAUGCCUGUACGCGAAAUAAAUAAAUAAACUGUCAAACGUAUUGAAAUUUUAGCAUAAGCGUUUUAUCGACAUUAUUCGAAAAGCGUAAUUAAAAACUUACGAAAAAUGAACGUUUGCGGUGAAAAGUUCACAAAAUGUUAUUUACAUUUUUUACGUAGUCGUUUAUAUACGGUCUUUGGUGUAAACGAUAGAACUCGUGUGCGGGUCACGGCACGGCGGCCGAGUAUACAAUUAAAAUGCUCACGGAGGGUCACGGCGAAAUUAUACGCGGGCCACUGCAGUAAUAUCCCCGGGGAACGUUUAAAAUGUUUCGAGUUAUGCGGUUAUAUUUUUUUUACCAAAGCCCAUCCCACCCAUCACCCACACCGUUCACCUAUCUUACCAACCGGGGGGUUUUCAAACGCGCGGCGGCAGUAUUCGUAUAUAGCCUUUUGCAUACGGAAUUAAAUGGGCCGCGAACGGCACCCCCUCACCCACCUCCCAACCGACGAUAAUAUCCGUCGCAUUAUUAUUAGAUAUAUCUGGUGGGCGUCGACUUUUUAAAUUAAAAGGCAUUUCGCGACGACUCUAUAAUAUACACUUGCGACCUUUGCGGUGUCAUUAGUGGGAUCUCCUCUCUUUUUUUAGUGAACAGGCGCGCGUGUGAGUGUAUAUAUAUACGUUUCUUUUCGUCCUUUCCUUUCAACCCUCCCCCUCGUCGCUCCGAACUAUCCGUUUGCCCUCUCGCCUCUCUAUAUACCUAACUAACAUAAAGGCUAAAC